rnacentral:rRNA from 1 species
GAUGAACGUUGGCGGCGUGCCUAAUACAUGCAAGUCGAGCGAACAGAUGAGGAGCUUGCUCCUCUGACGUUAGCGGCGGACGGGUGAGUAACACGUGGAUAACCUACCUAUAAGACUGGGAUAACUUCGGGAAACCGGAGCUAAUACCGGAUAAUAUAUUGAACCGCAUGGUUCAAUAGUGAAAGACGGUUUUGCUGUCACUUAUAGAUGGAUCCGCGCCGCAUUAGCUAGUUGGUAAGGUAACGGCUUACCAAGGCGACGAUGCGUAGCCGACCUGAGAGGGUGAUCGGCCACACUGGAACUGAGACACGGUCCAGACUCCUACGGGAGGCAGCAGUAGGGAAUCUUCCGCAAUGGGCGAAAGCCUGACGGAGCAACGCCGCGUGAGUGAUGAAGGUCUUCGGAUCGUAAAACUCUGUUAUUAGGGAAGAACAAAUGUGUAAGUAACUAUGCACGUCUUGACGGUACCUAAUCAGAAAGCCACGGCUAACUACGUG